rnacentral:rRNA from 1 species
UGGGGAAUAUUGCACAAUGGGCGCAAGCCUGAUGCAGCCAUGCCGCGUGUAUGAAGAAGGCCUUCGGGUUGUAAAGUACUUUCAGCGGGGAGGAAGGCGAUAAGGUUAAUAACCUUGUCGAUUGACGUUACCCGCAGAAGAAGCACCGGCUAACUCCGUGCCAGCAGCCGCGGUAAUACGGAGGGUGCAAGCUUUAAUCGGAAUUACUGGGCGUAAAGCGCACGCAGGCGGUCUGUCAAGUCGGAUGUGAAAUCCCCGGGCUCAACCUGGGAACUGCAUUCGAAACUGGCAGGCUAGAGUCUUGUAGAGGGGGGUAGAAUUCCAGGUGUAGCGGUGAAAUGCGUAGAGAUCUGGAGGAAUACCGGUGGCGAAGGCGGCCCCCUGGACAAAGACUGACGCUCAGGUGCGAAAGCGUGGGGAGCAAACA